rnacentral:lncRNA from 1 species
AGACUUCAGUGACAGAUGGAGGAGGAAAUCUUAGAGGCCUUUAGGAUCCCAGAUUGCUGCCUUCAAUGGUUUCCAUUAGUAUUGCCAAUCCCUUCUUCCCACCAGGCACAAACUCACAACUGCAUGGCAAGUCCUAAACUCUUGUGUCCAUGUAGAUCAGAAUGGGAACUGGUUUUCUUUCAUUCACUGUGGUGAGUUCAAGGUUUUGAGAUAGGCUUCUUCACUCAACCUGGAGCUUGCUAGUGUAGGUAGACUGCUUAUAUUGAGGAUAACAUACGUUGAAAUGCAUAGAAUCAUUGCAUCAAAUGCUCACCAGAGCCCUGGCACAUGGAUGAAGAAAAUACGCAGUUAUCUCAUGAAGGCCGAGGUUGUGUCAUUCCCUAAGCUUCUUCCUGUGAGCUCACGCUGGGCAGGGCCAGCACAGAUCGUUCAUCUUUUCUGCACCCCAUGACCGAGAAGCUGAUCAAUUUCCAGAAUAGCUCUAUCUGUUGAUAAAAUUGGAAAUGUUUGGGCCAAGUUUCUUCAGAAAUAGCCUCCUAUUCUAAGAACUGAAAACCAUCUUG